rnacentral:rRNA from 1 species
GAUGAACGCUGGCGGCGUGCUUAACACAUGCAAGUCGAACGAUGAAGCCGGAGCUUGCUCUGGUGAAUUAGUGGCGAACGGGUGAGUAACACGUGAGUAACCUGCCCUUGACUCUGGGAUAAGCGUUGGAAACGACGUCUAAUACCGGAUACGACCUUCGGAGGCAUCUCCUGGGGGUGGAAAGAAUUUCGGUCAAGGAUGGACUCGCGGCCUAUCAGCUUGUUGGUGAGGUAAUGGCUCACCAAGGCGUCGACGGGUAGCCGGCCUGAGAGGGUGACCGGCCACACUGGGACUGAGACACGGCCCAGACUCCUACGGGAGGCAGCAGUGGGGAAUAUUGCACAAUGGGCGCAAGCCUGAUGCAGCAACGCCGCGUGAGGGACGACGGCCUUCGGGUUGUAAACCUCUUUUAGCAGGGAAGAAGCGAAAGUGACGGUACCUGCAGAAAAAGCACCGGCUAACUACGUGCCAGCCGCCGCGGUAACAC